AGGAGCAAUAACCCACUGCAAAAUUAUGCUGAAAUGUGAUACUAUAUAAAGCAAGCAAUUCAAUAUCAAUAGUGAGGAAUCAGGAACAAUGGGGCAUGAUAAUUCAUUCUGCUUAGAAUGUUAUAAGCUUAAUAAUCAGUGUCGUGCUAGUGUAUCAACAAAAUAUAGCAGAAGUACACUGCACUUAAUCAUCUAGACAUUAACAACAUCAAAUGGAUGACUAGAGAAAUGAGCUUAAACCAUCUUCUGAUAUCAACAAUUAUUAAACCCAAAAGGAGGAGGACGAUAUAAUUGUCAAAUGCUUGGAAUAAAGAAUACAAUCUUUAACCCUGUCAAUACAUCAAAAAAAGAAUAAAAUCAUGGACAGGG
rnacentral:misc_RNA from 1 species